rnacentral:rRNA from 1 species
GAUGAACGCUAGCGGGAGGCUUAACACAUGCAAGUCGAGGGGUAAAUGGUAGCAAUACUAUGAGACCGGCGGACGGGUGCGUAACGCGUAUGCAACAUACCUUGUGCAGGGGGAUAGCCCGUGGAAACGCGGAUUAAUAUUCCAUAGUCCAGCUAUAUCGCAUGGUAUAGUUGGUAAAGAUUUAUCGGCACAAGUUUGGCAUGCGUCUGAUUAGCUUUGUUGGUAGGGUAACGGCCUACCAAGGCUACGAUCAGUAGGGGUUCUGAGAGGAUUAACCCCCACACUGGUACUGAGACACGGACCAGACUCCUACGGGAGGCAGCAGUGAGGAAUAUUGGUCAAUGGGCGGAAGCCUGAACCAGCCAUCCCGCGUGAAGGAAGACAGCCUUACGGGUUGUAAACUUCUUUUCUGUCAGAAGAAUAAGCUUGUCGAGACGAGUGAUGCCGGUAUGACAGGAAUAAGCAUCGGCUAACUCCGUGCCAGCAGCCGCGGUAAU